UACGUAGGGGGCAAGCGUUGUUCGGAAUUACUGGGCGUAAAGGGCUCGUAGGCGGCCAACUAAGUCAGACGUGAAAUCCCUCAGCUUAACUGGGGAACUGCGUCUGAUACUGGAUGGCUUGGAUUCGGGAGAGGAAUGCGGAAUUCCAGGUGUAGCGGUGAAAUGCGUAGAUAUCUGGAGGAACACCGGUGGCGAAGGCGGCAUUCUGGACCGAUAUUGACGCUGAGGAGCGAAAGCCAGGGGAGCAAACGGG
rnacentral:rRNA from 1 species